GCGGAGGAAAAGAAACCAACAGGGAUUGCCUCAGUAACGGCGAGUGAAGCGGCAACAGCUCAAAUUUGAAAUCUGGCUCCUUCGGGGCCCGAGUUGUAAUUUGCAGAGGAUGCUUCGGGUACGGGUUCCUUCCGAGUUCCCUGGAACGGGACGCCAUAGAGGGUGAGAGCCCCGUCUGGUAGGACACCCAGCCCGUGUGAAGCUCCCUCGACGAGUCGAGUAGUUUGGGAAUGCUGCUCUAACGGGAGGUAUACUCCUUCCAAGGCUAAAUACCGGCUGGAGACCGAUAGCGCACAAGUAGAGUGAUCGAAAGAUGAAAAGCACUUUGAAAAGAGAGUCAAAUAGCACGUGAAAUUGUUGAAAGGGAAGCGCUCGCUACCAGACAUGGGUUCGGCGGUUCAACCGGGGCCACGCCCCGGGGCACUCCGCCGGCCCAGGCCAGCAUCAGCUUUCCGUCGGGGGCAAAGACGUCGGGAAUGUGGCUCCCCUCCGGGGGAGUGUUAUAGCCCGGCGUGUCAUACCCUUCGGGGGGCUGAGGUACGCGCUUCUGCAAGGAUGCUGGCGUAAUGGUAGCUAGUGACCCGUCUUGAAACACGGACCAAGGAGUCAACCUUAUGUGCGAGUGCCCGGGCGUAAAACCCCAGCGCGGAAUGAAAGUGAACGUAGGUGAGAGCUUCGGCGCAUCACCGACCGAUCCUGAUGUCCUCGGACGGAUUUGAGUGAGAGCAUAUAGGGUUGGACCCGAAAGAAGAUGAACUAUGCGUGUGUAGGGUGAAUCCAGAGGAAACUCUGGUGGAGGCUCGCAGCGGUUCUGACGUGCAAAUCGA
rnacentral:misc_RNA from 1 species